rnacentral:rRNA from 1 species
AUUGAACGCUGGCGGCAUGCCUUACACAUGCAAGUCGAACGGCAGCACGGGUGCUUGCACCUGGUGGCGAGUGGCGAACGGGUGAGUAAUACAUCGGAACAUGUCCUGUAGUGGGGGAUAGCCCGGCGAAAGCCGGAUUAAUACCGCAUACGAUCUACGGAUGAAAGCGGGGGACCUUCGGGCCUCGCGCUAUAGGGUUGGCCGAUGGCUGAUUAGCUAGUUGGUGGGGUAAAGGCCUACCAAGGCGACGAUCAGUAGCUGGUCUGAGAGGACGACCAGCCACACUGGGACUGAGACACGGCCCAGACUCCUACGGGAGGCAGCAGUGGGGAAUUUUGGACAAUGUGCGAAAGCCUGAUCCAGCAAUGCCGCGUGUGUGAAGAAGGCCUUCGGGUUGUAAAGCACUUUUGUCCGGAAAGAAAUCCUUGGCCCUAAUACGGUCGGGGGAUGACGGUACCGGAAGAAUAAGCACCGGCUAACUACGUG